rnacentral:rRNA from 1 species
GGGAGCUGUAAGUAAGCUUUGAUCCAGAGAUUUCCGAAUGGGGAAACCCAGCAUGAGUUAUGUCAUGUUAUCGAUAUGUGAAUACAUAGCAUAUCAGAAGGCACACCCGGAGAACUGAAACAUCUUAGUACCCGGAGGAAGAAAAAGAAAAUUCGAUUCCCUUAGUAGCGGCGAGCGAAACGGGAAGAGCCCAAACCAACAAGCUUGCUUGUUGGGGUUGUAGGACACUCUAUACGGAGUUACAAAGGACGACAUUAGACGAAUCAUCUGGAAAGAUGAAUCAAAGAAGGUAAUAAUCCUGUAGUCGAAAAUGUUGUCUCUCUUGAGUGGAUCCUGAGUACGACGGAACACGUGAAAUUCCGUCGGAAUCUGGGAGGACCAUCUCCUAAGGCUAAAUACUCUCUAGUGACCGAUAGUGAACCAGUACCGUGAGGGAAAGGUGAAAAGCACCCCGGAAGGGGAGUGAAAUAGAACCUGAAACCGUGUGCUU